UGAUUGUCCAACUCACAUGUCCUUCGAUGUUGCUGAGUGGAGAGCCAAAUCUGAUGGCAGCAUACCCUGUCCUCCUAAAGAGUGUGGUGGUUGUGGUUCUUCUUUAAUGGCUCUAAGGCGUAUCUUCGAAGCAAAUUGGGUAGACCAACUAAUUCAAAGUGCUGAGGCCUUAACAUGCAACUACCGCCUUCCAGAUAUAGAUUUGUCGCAUGGGUGUUCAUUUUGUCUUGCUACCACUUCUGUCCAAGACGGUGAUAACCGAUGUCAAGUAAGAGAAGCAUCUUUUAGGAACAACAGCCAUGAUAAUCUUCUGUACUGUCCUAAUGCUG
rnacentral:misc_RNA from 1 species